ACGUAGGUGGCGAGCGUUGUCCGGAAUUACUGGGUGUAAAGGGUGCGUAGGCGGAUUUGCAAGUCAGACGUGAAAACUAUCGGCUUAACCGGUAGCCUGCGUUUGAAACUGUGAGUCUUGAGUGGUGAAGAGGUAAGCGGAAUUCCUAGUGUAGUGGUGAAAUGCGUCGAUAUUAGGAGGAACACCAGUGGCGAAGGCGGCUUACGGGGCACUAUCUGACGCUGAGGCUCGAAAGCAUGGGGAGCGUACAG
rnacentral:rRNA from 1 species